GACUCGGUGGCGGACGGUCCGCGUCUGUCUAACAUGCAUUAAUCUCCGAACCGAAGUUAAUGCAGACCUCGCCUGUUAGACUCAGGCCCGAGUCA